rnacentral:rRNA from 1 species
GACGUAGGGCGCGAGCGUUUGUCCGGAUUUAUUGGGCGUAAAGGGCUCGUAGGCGGUUUGUCGCGUCGGGAGUGAAAACCAGGUGCUUAACACCUGGCUUGCUUUCGAUACGGGCAGACUAGAGGUAUGCAGGGGAGAACGGAAUUCCUGGUGUAGCGGUGAAAUGCGCAGAUAUCAGGAGGAACACCGGUGGCGAAGGCGGUUCUCUGGGCAUGACCUGACGCUGAGGAGCGAAAGUGUGGGGAGCGAACAGG